AACACACCGCCUGGUACUGUCACCGGCGACGUGAGCGGGAGCGAAGUCCGGUGAGAAUCCGGCGCUGUGCCGCAACUGUGAUGGACUCUUUGUGACGGCUGAUGACCGCGCCGUGACAGGGGCCGAGCCAGGUCGCCUGACCGUUCACGUGACGCCAU
rnacentral:ncRNA from 1 species